AGUGUAGGCGGUUUAGCAAGUCGGAUGUGAAAUCCCAGGGCCCAACCCUGGAACUGCAUCCGAUACUGUUAGGCUAGAGUCCCGGAGAGGAUGGCGGAAUUCCCGGUGUAGGGGUGAAAUCCGUAGAUAUCGGGAGGAACACCAGUGGCGAAGGCGGCCAUCUGGACGGUGACUGACGCUGAGACUCGAAAGCCAGGGGAGCGAACAGGAUUAGAUACCCUGGUAGUCC
rnacentral:rRNA from 1 species